UACUGAACUGUUUGUACCGUAAGCAUGAUACAACGGGCAAGGGGUGAAAAGAACAGAGCACAGUAUAUGGGGAAUGGAAGCAAAAAAUUAGGGUUUUUGUAGAGGAGACGGAAUCAAAUCAGUAGAGAGGUUUGAAGAUAAUUAAGGAUUUAUGAUUGAAGGUUGAAUAUGUGUGUGUGUGUUUGAACGAUGAUGGUGGAAGAUUUAUACGGUGCCGUAACCGGUGGUGGCUAUGUGUGGGUUCGAAAGAAUUGCAGGGGGUUUGGGGUUGUUUUGGCCUAAAUUGAAAGCGGCGGUAGCGCUGGUAUGCAGGUGGUCUGUUGCAGCGAUGGACUGCGUAACCGCGUAUGGAUGAAAGGAGGGAUGUAGGCAAGCUGUUUGAUUAAAUGUCUGUGAGGGAGAGAAGCUAGCGAAGGUGUGGUAUUUGGGCAGUGUUAGCGCGGUUGUCGGAGAUGGGGAUCAUGGAAGCGGCGGCAGCCGCAGGAGGACGGGAGGGAAGCUAGGGAGGUGGAGUAUGCGGAGAGAAGGCAGAUGGUUAUUCCAAAGCAAGUGUGUCAAAUGUUUUCCAGGUUGGCCUUUUAACCAGUCUUUUUAACCAGUUUAAUAAUAUGUUUCUGUAUAUCUGAAGCUCUUUGUACAAUGUAUGUUUCUAUAUUGUCUACAAGGUAGAGGCAGUUAAAAUUUGGAUAACUUUUUCAUGGCAAGGUUUGGUCUAAUUGUAAUCUAGUAAAAGUAUCACACCCUGGUAAUGGCUUGUCUAGUUUUGGCUUUACUGUCUAGGCAAAAACUCUGACGGAUAAGGCAGCUGUGAUAUUUCAUAUUUGGCAAGAGAGAAAUAGGAGAUUAUCUGCAAAGCAAGGUUGUCACCCACUGGUCAGAUGUUGGAUAUCCCUAUGAUUUGGAACAGUGGAGGGUUUGAUUCUUGCUUGCUGUUCUCUGCCUUACUCCAUCUAUGCAUAAACUUCCAGGCCCGAUAGUUUUACCAAAGACAAAGUUUAUGCGGAGGCUACAUGUGCUGAGUUGUUAUAAAUUAGAUAUGAUGUCAAAUUCUUUAUCAAGCAUUUAAGUCUCUCAAAUCUCAAAGAGCUGAGUAUUCCAUGUGGAAUCAAAUUUCGUGAAGUUAAAUCUGAUAGAGGGAAGCAGAUUUAUAUUGAGCAGAGUAAGCUGUCCUGCGAUGGAGGUAAUCAUAAAAGGUGAUGGUACAAAUAACAGGAAGGUCUUAAACUUUGCUCAAUUGAAAUCUAUUGCCGUAAAAGAUAUGUAGACACUUACAUGAUUUUACAGCCAUGAGAGAAAUAUGGGUUCAAAUUCAACUAACAGCACUGAUAUUUCCUCUGACCAUUUUGGGUUGAGACAAGAAAAGAAGAUAAUCUGCGGUACAUAUCAUGGAUUUCUUAUGUAGUUGGAUAGUAGUCUUCAGUUAUACUAGUUUUUCAGUUGAUUUUGAUUGUAUGUAAUUUGUAUUUGCUAACAAAAAGUAGUCUAGAUUUUGUUGGGUUAUUUGUCUUGGCCAAAUUUUAUCAGCUGUAUGACUUGUUUAUUCUUCUUUAAAUUAAUGAUAUUAUUGUUAUUGUUUGUAGUUU